AGAACGCUGGCGGCGUGCUUAACCAUGCAAGUCGAACGGUGAUCUUGAGAGCUUGCUCUUGGGUGAUCAGUGGCGAACGGGUGAGUAACACGUAGGUUAUCUACCCUCAAGACGGGACAACCCAGGGAAACUUGGGCUAAUACCGGAUGUGAGCAACUUUUAGUUGUUUGAAAGGUGGCGUAAGCUGUCGCUUGGGGAUGAGCCUGCGUCCUAUUAGUUAGUUGGUGAGGUAACGGCUCACCUAGGCAAUGAUAGGUAGGCGGCCUUAACGGGUGGUCGCCCACACUGGGAUUGAGAUACGGCCCAGACUCCUACGGGAGGCAGCAGUCGAGAAUAGUCUACAAUGGUCGGAAGACUGAUAGUGCGACGCCGCGUGAACGAUGAAUCCCUUCGGGGUGUAAAGUUCUUUUAUAUGUGAGCAGUGCUUCUUAUAUUAACAGUAUGGGGAGAGAGAUAUUAGCAUAUGAAUAAGCAACGGCUAACUCCGUG
rnacentral:rRNA from 1 species